GCCGGGAUAGCUCAGUUGGUAGAGCAGGGCACUGAAAAUCCUCGUGUCACCA
rnacentral:tRNA from 1 species